GGGGGCGGGCCGAGGGAGGGGCUGUGGAGCUUGGCCCGCCCUAGGGCUCUGUUGAUUGACAUGUGGAGGCUGAGGCUUACUGUGCUGGCACCACCUUGAACGAUAGUGGGUUGGAUGCAGGGGAUGGGCUGAGGGAGGGGCUGCAGAGCUUUGCCCACUCUGGUGCUCUGCUGACUGACAGGUGGAGAUGGAGCCUUACCACGGAGACACCACUUUGAAUGACAGUGGGUUGGCUGCAGGCGGCGGGUCUGAGGGUGGGGCUUUGUGCUUUAAAUGACCUUACACCGGACUGUAGACCAUUUUCCCUCCAGCGCUGUAUACUUUGGCCUAGGCGUGACAGCCGAGGCUUACUGCGGAAGGCCCAUCUGGAGUGGCAGUGGAGCCUCCGCUUGAACGCGUGCUCUGAGGCACAGUGGGACUUGAAACAUGUGUAACCCACAGGGAGCAAAUCGAUGACCCCAAAUGUGGGGUUAAUGUAAUGUUCAGGUAAUGAUGUCAUUUCCUAACGGUAAUCAGGAUAAUAGCACUCAGGUCCUAAAAUAAGCCGUCCCACAUGUUACUUAUGUUUACAGCACAAUUAAGUUUUUGGCCCUGCAUCACUGGCUAUCAAAUGAUAGAAUUUGAGUUUCAACUCACCUUUCUAAGAAGUCAUUACUCCACGUAGUUUCCUUGAAAAAUGUCUUAGAUGUACUUUUUUCUAAAAUGACAAUAGUUUGUCUAUAAUAGUUUGCCAUGGGCUCUGAGGUUGAGUUCUCUGAGCCUCUGCUUAUUUUCUGUGAAAUGAAAACUAGAAAAUUAAUAGUGUUAUGGUGAAAAUUACCAGAGACGAUAAAAUAAGAUGCUAAGUGCUGUGUGAGGCACGUAAUUAACAGUAAAUAAUACUGCCUCUUUUAGUCACGUUUUACUCUAAUAUUUAUCUGCAAUAUAUGUCCCUUGCCUUUAGAGAGAUGGCCAGUGCAAUAUAGGUAAUAAGUGGAACAUUGGGUUCUUGAAUUGGUGUCUUAAUCCCAAGCUCCUUUGUUGUUUUGCUCUGCUUCUUAGACAAGGCUCUGCGACACUGAGGGAUUGAUUUGCACACCCAUUGGCAUAGCCUCAUUGGGAAAAGGCUGAGAUUACAGCCCAGGGUACAACAUAUACCUCAGGGAGCAGUGUUGAUGGCUCUUCCAUUCUGAGAGGGAAAGCUGUUCUUCCAGGUCUGAUUACAUUUCUGUCACUGUAGGAGGUAAAGUUGCAGCUACUGUGGGGUCAUUUCCAGCCUGGGAAAUCCAGUAAUUGAAAAGUAAAUUUGGUGUCUCAC
rnacentral:lncRNA from 9 species